GACAACUGCCACAACACGAACUAAUAAAUGUGGAUUUGAAGUUUUACACAACAUAAGCAUUCAUGAAAAAUGCACUUUGUAGAAAUCUAUAUAUGGAGAGUAUAAUGUAAGCUUGUCUAAUGCUCACACCUCUUCUGCAGUAGAACUAGAUUGUACUCUUUUAAACAAAAAUACAUGUAUUCCCGCCCAAAAAUUAGAGUUUGUUACACUCAUAUUUCCUAUACUUAGUAAGCUUGCAAAAAGAAUGAAGAUCAGCAUCCUGCGGUCAACUGUGUAGAACCAACUGCAUUCCUGUGCUGAAGAUGCAAAGCAGCCAAAAGGCCUUGCCAUGUUUCUCCAGGUCCUCCAGCCACUUGAAAAUCUAGGAGCUUUCUCUGUUUCCUGUAGUAUUCUUCUAGCGGGUUGACCUGCUCUGCAUGCACAUGCAGGUUCUUCCUCGAGACAUCUUCCAUGAUACUUGAAGGCCUAAAAUGACCACCCUCUGGCUGCCGACUGGUACUAAUUCCAGAAGCCCCCAUGCGGAGGAAUUCCAGUGGUGGAUAAAGCCCAGUGCUUUUAUCUUUCUUUGACACCAAAUCCUCUGCGCGUUUAAGAUUCAGAACUAAAUCUAUGUCCACAGUUUUGUCCAGGAUCUCAGCUUGAAUCUUUGAUCGAGGAAUCCCAUCCAAGAUGAAUCCACUUUCACCACUGCAAUAUCCUUCUUCUAGCCUCUUUGACAAUAAACCAAAUAUAACCUCUUCCGGGACAAGUUUUCCCUGGUUGACAGCAUCUGCUAUCUGCUUGUAGAGAGAAGAACGAGGGUGGAGCUCUUGGCGAACGAGUGAACCCAUGGAAAUAUGAGGGACACCUAGAAGCUUCGAGAGCCACUGGGCAUACACGUGUCUCUGUGCCAUAGGAUCACCCAUAAUCACCCACUGCACUCCCCUUCGAGGAACCGAUCCCUCAGAUUCCUCCAUUACGCAGCUCCGGUUCUGAAACUCUUCAUAUUCGUAAUCAUCGUAAUCGUAGUCUACUAGCUGAGCUGCAGCUGAUCCGUAAGACCGUAGAGAUUCAGUCCGAAUAAGUGGCUUCGCCGCCGCUCUGAUACGGCUGAGCAAUGCCAUCGCCGGCUGGAAAAUGAUUCUCUGUAUAGCCG
rnacentral:misc_RNA from 1 species